rnacentral:lncRNA from 1 species
AUGGAAACACCUCACAUUUAGUUUUUAUUAUAGCAAAUAGCAUUUGACCAUGCACAACAAAAUAUUUUCCAAACCUUCAUAUGUUCUACAAAUUUAUAAUCAGAUCUUGGUCUCAUUUUUUUCACAUAAAGUAAGUGCCAACUAAUGGCCAGCCAAGCAAAUUACACUUGUCCCUAGUACAGCCUACAAAAGACACAAGUGGAGGCAUGCAUGCAAGCCUAAACACGCAUGCAUGCCAGAUGUAAUGCAUCUCCAAACCGACAUAGCUACUAACCCAUCUACAAAUAGGAGCCGUUCCUUUCACUAUGGUUCAUUCCACCUCACACACACAUACACUGGAGUACCCCCACCACUUUCCUUUUCACCUUCUGCCACACUUCUGUCCUUCACUGCGGUGAAGCCCUUUGGGUUGCAUGCUCCACCAGGUACUAAUCAAGUACCUUGUUGUGUUACCCUUUUUGCUUGACUUCUUAUCUAUCUUCAUCUCGGUUUGAAUCAGCCCAUGAACAUCUAUUCACCUUGAUCUAUUUACCUUGUUGUAAAAAGAACAAAAUGUUUGCGUAAACACCCAAGUUAAUCAAAACUAAUUAGAUCAAUUGCAAAAGCUUGUAAAAGUUUCUGUGAAUGACAUCUACGGCUGGUACUAGAUCUAACAUGCCAAGAAUCAAAUCCUAAGUACUAGUAACUUGCUAAGACAUGUAUGUGUGUAUCCAAAAGAUCAAUAUUCAUGUGUAUACUACCUUGUUCUAAUUAUUAAUCCCCGCCAAUCUGUAGAAAACAUUGAGUGAUUGAUGUUUAUAAUCUACUCACAAGUAAUUAAUUUUGGAGUUUCACUGCCACUAUUUGCUUUUAUAUGGUGUUCAAGGAUGAGUAGCACUAGUUAGGAACAGCAUUUAGAUCUAAUCAGCAGCAAUACCAUGACCACGCCAUAGAUUAAAUCUUGAUUAAUUUCGUGGCAUUCAGAUAAACAAAGAGAAAGAAGGCAAUAUGGCUGAGUGAGCAAUAGUAGGGCCUGAGAUAGAAUGAACAAUAUAUGCACACCCACGUUGACAUCUAGCAAGCACUUGAUGUAAAAUUUGGAACACUUGAUGGAGAAGGAAUCAGAAUUAGUACUUACCAGUAGUAGUAGUAGGAUGUGGCUAGUCCACACGUUAGCAGCAGAGCCAUGCGACCGAGCAGCGCCGGUGAAGCCGCACACGCCCGACGCCCGUGGCUGCAUGCCUCGUGUGUGUGGCUGCGCUGGGGGAGGAUGUAGGCAUGGAGACGUUGUUGCCACUCCAGCCGAUGGCAAGCCCACCGGACCUGAAUCAGGUGGCGCUAGGAUUGAGUGGUGGCGAUGUUUUUGGCGGCGGCGGAUAAAAUAAAUAGGAGGAAAUGGUAGAGGGAGACGAGGAGAAUCUGUAGGUGUCCACGGUGCCGCCGGAGAUGCCCGGAUGGGGCAGAUCGAGGCAGCGGCGGCCAAGCUCUGUUCUUGCGGAGAGAGAGAGGUGGGUGGCUGGUUCUGUUCUUGGGAUAGAAGAGAAGACGAGGAGAGAAACAAGCUGGGUUCAACGAGUAAAAUACAAGUAGUGCAGUACUAGGCUACUGUUUCCUUUUUACUUAUCUUUUUUUACUCUCUGGACUGGAUGGCAUACGUGCAUGCUAUUCUGAUUUGGAUGGCUUGAUGCAUUUUAUCUCUCAAUGAAACACUAGGACGUAUGACAACCUAGUUAAUUAAUUAUGGCUUGCCCAACAUGGCCGUGUUGCUGGAUCUUUAGAUUUUAAAUUAGGAAAUAUAAACAUGUUUGUGAAAUAAUUAUCAGGAGCCGAUCUCGGAUCCAUAGGAGCCACGCCCGGUGGUUUCCAGUUGGUCGAAGCACUAUCCGACAAGUCGUCAUCUCCUUGAACAUGUCUUGAUAAAUGUUCUCCGGGCUAUGGGUCAGUUCGAAAAUUUUGCAUAAGAAUUAAAAAUAAAUAUUUUCCAUAAAUAAAAUGAAAUUUUGAUCAGGUGGAUCCACUGAUUUGGCAAUUUGACCAGAUCAGGUGAAGCAUCUGUAUUAAGUAGUUGCGACCCGGGUAGGGUUACAAUAUAAAUAAAUAUUUGGUGGGUAGGGGAGCUCAUGUUGGUGAAAGCAACCCAGGGAGGGUCAGCUUGGAUGGUUGUAGGAUCGAAAGUAUGUCUAGAGGGGGGUGAUUAGACUACUUGACCAAAUUAAAACUUAUCCUUUUCCCAAUUUUAUUCUUUGGCAGAUUUUAGCUAACUUAGCACAUCAAGCAAUCUCAACACAAUUCAAGCAAGCAUGCAAAGAGUAUAUGAGCAGCGGAAAGUAAAGCAUGCAACUUGCAAGAAUGUAAAGGGAAGGGUUUGGAGAAUUCAAACGCAAUUGGAGACACGGAUGUUUUUGUCGUGGUUCCGAUAGGUGGUGCUAUCGUACAUCCACGUUGAUGGAGACUUCAACCCACGAAGGUAAUGGUUGCGCGAGUCCACGGAGGGCUCCACCCACGAAGGGUCCACGAAGAAGCAACCUUGUCUAUCCCACCAUGACCGUCGCCCAUGAAGGACUUGCUUCACUAGCGGUAGAUCUUCAUGAAGUAGGCGAUCUCCUUGCCCUUACAAACUCAUUGGUUCAACUCCACAAUCUUGUCGGAGGCUCCCAAGUGACACCUAGCCAAUCUAGGAGACACCACUCUCCAAGAAGUAACAAAUGGUGUGUUGAUGAUGAACUCCUUGCUCUUGUGCUUCAAAUGAUAGUCUGCCCAACACUCAACUCUCUCUCACAGGAUUUGAAUUUGGUGGAAAGAAGAUUUGAGUGGAAAGCAACUUGGGGAAGGCUAGAGAUCAAGAUUCAUAUGGUAGGAAUGGAAUAUCUUGGCCUCAACACAAGUGUAGGUGGUUCUCUCUUAGAAAAUGCAAGUUGGAAGUGUAGGUUCGUUCUGAUGGCUCUCUCCUCGAAUGAAGAGGAGGUGGAGGGGUAUAUAUAGCCUCCACACAAAAUCUAGCCGUUACACACAACAUGCCAAUAUCGGUGGGACCGAAUUGAGAAACUCGGUCGGACCGAUUCAGCAAAUCUAGUGACCGUUAGGAUUUUUGGUGGGACCGACAUGCAACUCAGUAGGACCGAUAUGGUUAUGGUUAGGGCAUAACAUAAUCUCGGUGAGACCGAUUACAAAAACUCGGUAGGACUGAUUUUGGUAAUAAGCUAACCAGAGGGUUGGUCAGGUAAACUCGGUGGGACCGGUUCGGUCAUUUCAGUGAGACCGAAAUGUUACGAAGAGGAAACAGAGAGUUUGCAUUGCAAUCUCGGUGGGACCGAUCGCUCAUCUCGGUGGUACCGAAAUGUUACGAAGGGAAACAGAGAGAUUACAAUCCCAUCUUGGUGAGACUGAGAUCCCUAUCGGUGAGACCGAUUUUCCUAGGGUUUGUGGCAGUGGCUAUGACAAGUGAACUCGGUGGCGCCGGAUAGAAAGAAUCGGUGGGGCCGAGUUUGACUUUUGCUUUAGGUCAUAUGUGGAUGUGAGAAAGUAGUUGAGGGCUUCGGAGCAUAUCACUAAGUAUUUUGAGCAAGUAACCCAUUAAGCAACACCUCAUCCCUCCUUGAUAGUAUUGGCUUUUCCUAUAGACUCAAUGUGAUCUUGGAUCACUAAAAUAUAAAAUGUAGAGUCUUGAGCUUUGAGCUUGAGCCAAUCCUUUUGUCCUUGCAUUUUGAGGGGUCCACUUUUUUCAUUCAUGCCAUGCCAAUCAUUGAGCUUUUCUGAAAUAUUCAUCUUGAAAUAGCAUUAGCUCAAUGAGCUAUAUGUUGUUAGGAAUUACCAAAACCACCUAGGGAUAGUUGCAUUUUGGCGGUCUCCUCUACAUAGGGUAUCACAUUAGGACACAACCAACUGGCGCUUACUUCAAAAGCGGUGCAAACCAUACUGACCACAGACCUGGAAUGGGACAGGCUGAACCAACUACCCAUACCAAGUAGCUACCUCUGCAUGGGUGAGAAGCUGUAGCCGGGUAGGUACAGUCACCAUAGGGCGGGAUCGCCGGUCAGGGGUCUCAACCCGCGGGCCUUUAGUAAGGCAAGGUGGAAAAGCAGAGGUAGUGUACAGGCUGGUUAAAGGUUCUGGUUCCUUGGUCUAGUCGUGUGCACGGGUAGCGCAUGGACGACUUAGACCAAGUGAUGCUAUGGGCAAAGCAGUACACCUCUGAUCAGAGUAAAUGUGAUAUCACUCCCAGCUUCCGGGUUUGGAAGUGCGUCGUGUGGGUUUUCCUCUAACACAGGAUUUAAGAUCCCACGUCGCUCUAUCACCGGUAGAUUUUAUAAAUAAAUUUGGUUUUCAACAAAAUGUGUUAAGGGAAAAUAUUUUUACCUACAAAGUAUUUUGAGCUAAUGGCUCGGUGGUUGUAGCCGUGGACGAUAAAGUUUUUCUUCUUUAAAGACUCAUGCAUCCACUUUUCCCGGCGACUUGCGGAGUACGUAUUUUAUACGUACUCAAUUGCACUUAUGUUGUUUUUCAGAACAAGAGAGUUAUGAGAACUCUAAGGCGAUAGACACUGGUACUUAUGAUGAGUCUGGUCAUCUUAAUGACUUCGGUUAUUCUGAAUUGGAGUAUGUUUAUGAGGAAGUCGACAAUCAAGGCUAUGAAGAGUAGAUGCCCUCCAUGGUUGGUCUAGAAGGCUCGUAACUAGAAGUGGAUGACGAUGUAUCGUCAUGGUCGCUUAGGCUUAGUCGACACUUGAGGUGUCAAUGUAAUAAAAGCUUGCCUACUCAUGGCAGCUGCACCGUAUUGUACAUGAUAUUGUUCUCC